CUUAUGUAUUUGAUAUAGAAAGUAUUAUGUAUAUAUUAUAGAUUAUAAAAUAUAUUAUCGACCUCUCCUCCUGUCCCUUUUCACAUAAAAGUUAUUAAAACGUAUUUUAGAUGGCGCCUAUUUACAGCAGCAAACAACAUAGACUUUAUGCCCGAAUCACACUCGCGUUUGGCGAUUGGCGUUUGGCAUCUACAAUUGUCUCUUGACCAAUCAGAAAACAGCUGCUGGCGAUUACGAUUAACGAUCACAGACUUCUAUAAUAUACUAGACUGCUAACCUUGAUUCCCUAGGCGUACCAGUAUAUAAUGUAUGUACAUGUUGUACAUGACUGAAUAACCGAUCGGAAUGUGUCAUCUGCUAUGUAAUGUACAUUGUUCGUCAAGUGGAAUGUAUAUGUACAUAUAUAUAUGCCAAUAAAUAUCACAUAUAGUUGCUACGAGUAAUUUGUUGACAUUUUUAAAAUGUUUAUAUAUAUAUAUAUAUUUAAAAAAUGAUACUUAAUAAUACUAAUAAAUAUCAUUAAUAUUAGGUUAUUUUAUACAAAAAUGCUCUUAAAAUGAGGUUAUAUCAUUUGUUCUUUAGUUUUAAUACUUAAACGAAAAGAAAUGUAUACCGCUUUCUUAUAUAUAUUUGGGCAGCCUUUUAUCACAUACCUUAAUUAUUGUCAUUUUAUCUUUUUCUUUUAUAUUACAAGAGCAAAAGAAUGAUACGUUUAACGCAUAAGUACGCAUAAGCGUCCAAGGAGAACGCUCUCAUAAUCACAUAAUAUAUAUAUUGUAUCAUACAUCUCACUCACUCCUCUAGUAAUCCAUAGUCGUAGGACUAUAAAAUAUUAGCCACAUUCUAAUCGGUAAUUCAGUCUGCCGCCUAUGAGCUCCUAUUUGUACAUACUUUUCGGGUACACACUAAAUGGAGAAUAUAUAACGAGCCUAGCAGUCUAGUAUAUUAUAGAAGUCUGUGUUAACGAUUCUCAUUUAGCCGUCCUUCUAUUUGUCAAGAGACAAUCGUAGACGCAAACGCAAUCGCCAAACGCUAGUGUGAUUCGGGCAUUAUAAACCGGUAUUCAUAUUCGGAUCUUAUAUUUAAGAUCAUCUUAAGUACUGUCACAGUUUAGCUAUAACCAGUUACGACAGUACAGUCGGAACCUUUGAUGUUUAUGUUACCUAGUCACGUGACCAUCCGCCAUGUUUUGGAUUGUAAGAAAGCGCGUUAUUCGAAGAUAUAAAA